CUCAAAAUGUUUUUGGUGAUACUCAAGACGACAAGGUUGUUAUAGAUGUUACCUUUACGAUUUUAAUAAUUACUUUUUAAUAAAGUGUCUUUCGUUAUUAAGUAAAAAGUUAUAUUUUUAAUGUAGGUGUUGGAGGAGAGUAAUCAGUAUGCGGGGAACAAAUUUGAUGAUGAUGUGUUUGAUGUAAACAAUUAUAGUGAAGUUAAAGAGGAGUGGGAGGAGAGGAAUGACAAUGCAGGGAACAAAUUUGAUGAUGAUGUGCCGGAUGAAGACGAACUUAUAAUAAUGGGAAAUGUAGAUUAUUUUCAUGAUGAUGAUGAUGACAAAGAAGUUACACCCGAUAAACCUAGGAGUCGAAAACCAUCACAAUUUUUAUGCACUCCUUACACCGAGUAUUCGUUUUAUUUAUAAACUGAUGAUUUUAUGUUUAUGUGAAUUAUCUGAAAGAUAUACAUUUAAACAUUUGAAUAUUGUUUUUAGUUGCACACGACACCGAAACAAAAAAGAAGAACAAAAAAGAAGGUUGGUAUGAAAUCAACAAGCCCCGUUCCUCCUCCAGUUUUUGGUGUUGCUCAUGACUUCUCCAUGUUGCGCCUGCAACCUUACGUAGCAGGCGGUGAGGAUGUCAUCCAAAAUUAUGUAUUGCAUUCAUACGAUGUGCAACAUCGUUUGUUUAAUUUCGUGUUAGAUAGAGAUUUUUAGAGCUCAUUGUUUGGGCAUACACACGACGGAUGGUUGGAGUCAGCGCAUAUAACCAUUUGGUACCGAGUUUUGAUGGAGAGAUGGUUUGAGAGCGACCGACAUACAAUAAUGCCUCCAAAUUUUUUUGUUUCUCAUGCUUUGGAAGAAGGACAGGACUGGAGGGCGUUUAUGGCUGGUAUUGCUACAUACCCCAACUUCAUGGUUGCUUGGUGGGAUGUUGAUACGGUCUUAUUGUCGAUUCAUUCAUCCCCUAAUCAUUGACUAUUUGGGGAACUACGAUUAGCGUCAAUGGAAGUGCAUAUUUAUGACAGUCUUGGUAGAGGUGCUUAUGAAAAAUUCCAAUCCGAAGGAAUCUUUUCCAAAUUUGAACGUCGGGUGGCAAAUUAUUUGGACAAGAUUAAGUAUUGGGCGCGGAGGAACAUCCCAAGGAUUCCAUUAAAUAUGCAAUUCAUUUAUGAAGAAAACGUUCCCCAACAAAGUAGUCAUUUGGGAGAUUGCGGUGUUUUUCUUUGUAUGUUUAUGGAGCAAUUGGUUUCAGGUCAACCAAUACGUGUUCUUAUUGACCCAAAGAACGCAGCUUUAGAGUUCCGUCUCCGGAUGGCAAAAAUUAUUUGGGGGUCUAGUCUUGCUCCUCUGUAGUUGGAUUAUAUAAAUGUAUAUACAAAUUAAUGUUGGAUUUCAUUAUUAGUUUAUCUUUAGAGUUUACUCAACGGAUGACAAAAAAUAUAACGUUACGACAAUUACAACAAUUUAAUGACCUACUAAUUACUUAUCAAUAAAUUCAACAUAAGAACGACCACAACAUUUGUUUUAACGUUACAAAUACAACAAUUUAUUGACCUAACAACUUCAAAACCAUAAAAACAAUAUUGAAAAGCUUACAACUUGUAAACAAGAACUGCCAAGAACAACACCCAACUACAAACCAACGCUAUCUUUAACUUCUUAUUUUCUGAUUGAAAGAGCUUAUUAGAGUUAGCUACUUUAGCUAUUACCAUAGAAGAUUGGUCCUUCUCUUCAUCAACCCAACUGAU